AUUGAACGCUGGCGGCAGGCCUAACACAUGCAAGUCGAGCGAGCGGCGGACGGGUGAGUAAUGUGUAUGGAUCUGCCCGAUAGAGGGGGAUAACUACUGGAGACGGUGGCUACUACCGCGUACGGUCGGAUGACGCCAUAUGGGUUGAGCUAGUGGGUAAGGUAAUGGCGUACCUAGGCGACGAUCCCUAGCUGGUCUGAGAGGAUGAUCAGUCACACUGGGACUGAGACACGGCCCAGACUCCUACGGGAGGCAGCAGUGGGGAAUAUUGGACAAUGGGCGCAAGCCUGAUGCAGCCAUGCCGCGUGUAUGAAGAAGGCCUUCGGGUUGUAAAGUACUUUCAGUAGGGAGGCGGUACCGACAGAAUAAGCACCGGCUAACUCCGUGCCAGCAGCCGCGGUAAUUC
rnacentral:rRNA from 1 species